rnacentral:rRNA from 1 species
GGGAGCUCUCCCAUAUGGUCGACCUGCAGGCGGCCGCGAAUUCACUAGUGAUUAGAGUUUGAUCCUGGCUCAGAACGAACGCUGGCGGCAUGCCUAACACAUGCAAGUCGAACGAGCCCUUCGGGGCUAGUGGCGCACGGGUGCGUAACGCGUGGGAAUCUGCCCUUGGCUUCGGAAUAACAGUUAGAAAUGACUGCUAAUACCGGAUGAUGUCUUCGGACCAAAGAUUUAUCGGCCAGGGAUGAGCCCGCGUAGGAUUAGGUAGUUGGUGGGGUAAAGGCCUACCAAGCCGACGAUCCUUAGCUGGUCUGAGAGGAUGAUCAGCCACACUGGGACUGAGACACGGCCCAGACUCCUACGGGAGGCAGCAGUGGGGAAUAUUGGACAAUGGGCGCAAGCCUGAUCCAGCAAUGCCGCGUGAGUGAUGAAGGCCUUAGGGUCGUAAAGCUCUUUUACCCGGGAUGAUAAUGACAGUACCGGGAGAAUAAGCUCCGGCUAACUCCGUGCCAGCAGCCGCGGUAAUACGAAUCGAAUUCCCGCGGCCGCCAUGGCGGCCGGGAGCAUGCGAC